CCUACGGGAUGCAGCAGUCGAGAAUCAUUCACAAUGGGGGAAACCCUGAUGGUGCGACGCCGCGUGGGGGAGUGAAGGUCUUCGGAUUGUAAACCCCUGUCAUGUGGGAGCAAAUUAAAAAGAUAGUACCACAAGAGGAAGAGACGGCUAACUCUGUGCCAGCAGCCGCGGUAAUACAGAGGUCUCAAGCGUUGUUCGGAAUCACUGGGCGUAAAGCGUGCGGAGGCUGUUUCGUAAGUCGUGUGUGAAAGGCGCGGGCGCAACCCGCGGACGGCACAUGAUACUGCGAGACUAGAGUAAUGGAGGGGGAACCGGAAUUCUCGGUGUAGCAGUGAAAUGCGUAGAUAUCGAGAGGAACACUCGUGGCGAAGGCGGGUUCCUGGACAUUAACUGACGCUGAGGCACGAAGGCCAGGGGAGCGAAAGGGAUUAGAUACCCCUGUAGUC
rnacentral:rRNA from 1 species